GAAAAUAUCGAUACUACUCGGGUAUCGAUACUUUUUGGUGAUCACUAAAUUUGUUUUUAAGCCAUUCAUUUUGUUUAAUGGCGUCCAGUCAUCGUUUGUCACCCUUGCAGUAGAAAUCGUUUUACGUACUCCUAUAAACUUACAACGUUUGACUACCAUGGCGUCUCCGAAGCCCAUUGUUUGAAGAGUUAAGUGAAGUGCAAGUGUUGGACUCAAAUUAGCCGCUUGUCACGGCCUCCUCUUCUGCGCCGAUCCUUGACGAACCGGUUGCUGGUCCUAGUGGGCUGACUAGUCCUGGCGAGGAAUUUGCUGCGAUGCCCAGACUUACUAGGUCAUCUGGCAGAAGGCUUAAUCCUUACUCGGAUGAGUUAAAAGGCCCAUUCUCGGACGGAAGAGGGAACCUAUGCAAGGAUAAGGAAGAAUCUUCUUUUGAUGGUAUACCGCAUUUUGAGUAUUUUCCCUACCAUGUUUUGGCAAAGUACAACACAAAAUCGUCAAUAUGACUUACCUCAACCGAGAAGAGUGCCUUUGUCAUCAGUGUCAUCUAUAAUAUAAAAAAUGAAUCGCAGAAUGUGUAGGUAAGCGCAUAACUAUACAAAGCCUGAACCAAUUGUA